rnacentral:rRNA from 1 species
UACGUAGGGUGCAAGCGUUAAUCGGAAUUACUGGGCGUAAAGCGUGCGCAGGCGGUUGUGUAAGUCUGUCGUGAAAUCCCCGGGCUCAACCUGGGAAUUGCGAUGGAGACUGCACGGCUAGAGUGUGUCAGAGGGGGGGUAGAAUUCCACGUGUAGCAGUGAAAUGCGUAGAUAUGUGGAGGAACACCGAUGGCGAAGGCAGCUGCCUGGCCCAGAACUGACGCUGAGGUGCGAAAGCGUGGGGAGCGAACGGG